rnacentral:rRNA from 1 species
AUACGGAGGAUCCGAGCGUUAUCCGGAUUUAUUGGGUUUAAAGGGUGCGCAGGCGGCCUUUUAAGUCAGCGGUUAAAUCGUGGGGCUCAACCCCAUUCUGCCGUUGAAACUGGGUGGCUUGUUUGCGGUCGAGGUUGGCGGAAUUCGUUGUGUAGGGGUGAAAUGCAUAGAUAUGACGAAGAACACCGAUUGCGUAGGCAGCUGACCAGAACGCAAAUGACGCUCAUGCACGAAAGUGUGGGGAGCGAACAGGAUUAGAUACCCUGGUAGUCCGCACAGUAAACGAUGAAUACUUGUUUUCGGCGAUAUAAUGUCGGAGGCAAAGCGAAAGCGAUAAGUAUUCCGCCUGGGGAGUACGCCGGCAACGGUGAAACUCAAAUGAAUUGACGGGG